rnacentral:pre_miRNA from 9 species
CUCAUUCCUUCAGUGUUGAAACAAUCUCUGCUGAACCAGGCUCCAAACUACGUUCACUGGAGUUUGUUUCAAUAUUGCAAGAAUGAUAAAAUUGAUGC